CCACGGGGAGAUACCAUAUCACCAAAGGAGGAAUUCUUCUCAAUGCAUAAUAGUCCACUUCUUCAUUGCUACUAGGCUUCGAGCGUUUGUCUUGUUGAGUCUUUGUUUGGGUCUUCUUUCGCUUCCUCCCUGUAGAAACAGAGGCUAGAUUCUCUUCCUCCCGAUAAUCUUUGUUUGUCUUGUAUCUACUGACACCACAGUUUGGACAAGUCUUUAAAUUGAUCACCCCGAUAUAGAAUACAAUGAUUUCUACAUGCGUGGAUCUUCUCAACACCUAUCGUAAGUGGACUGACUAGCUUCUUUGCAUAAUAUGUGUUAGCAAGCACUUUGUUCUCCUUAGGAAGAAGGUCUCCAAGUACACGUAAGAAAUCAUUGAAGCUAG
rnacentral:lncRNA from 1 species